rnacentral:rRNA from 1 species
GAUGAACGUUGGCGGCGUGCCUAACACAUGCAAGUCGAACGCUAGUAGCAAUAUUAGAGUGGCGCACGGGUGAGUAACACGUAGCUUACCCACCUCCCAGCGCGGGAUAACGGUUCGAAAGAACUGCUAAUACCGCAUAAGCUCACGGGCUAUAGAGGCUAGUGAGAAAGGCUUAGGUCACUGGGGAGCGGGGGCGUGCGGCCC